AUACUUACCUGGCAAGGUACCCAAGCUAUCUUGAUCAUGAAGGAGGUUUUUCCAGGGUGAGGCUCAUCCAUUGCAUUCUGAGAGUGCUGAUUCCUGUGAUUUCUCCAAAUGUAGGAAACUCAAUUGCAUAAAUUGUGGUGGAUUUUAGUAUUUUGAUUGUUAUAUA